rnacentral:rRNA from 1 species
GACGAACGCUGGCGGCGUGCUUAACACAUGCAAGUCGAACGGAAAGGCCCUGCUUUUGUGGGGUGCUCGAGUGGCGAACGGGUGAGUAACACGUGAGUAACCUGCCCUUGACUUUGGGAUAACUUCAGGAAACUGGGGCUAAUACCGGAUAGGAGCUCCUGCUGCAUGGUGGGGGUUGGAAAGUUUCGGCGGUGGGGGAUGGACUCGCGGCUUAUCAGCUUGUUGGUGGGGUAGUGGCUUACCAAGGCUUUGACGGGUAGCCGGCCGGAGAGGGUGACCGGCCACAUUGGGACUGAGAUACGGCCCAGACUCCUACGGGAGGCAGCAGUGGGGAAUAUUGCACAAUGGGCGGAAGCCUGAUGCAGCAACGCCGCGUGCGGGAUGACGGCCUUCGGGUUGUAAACCGCUUUCGCCUGUGACGAAGCGUGAGUGACGGUAAUGGGUAAAGAAGCACCGGCUAACUACGUG